rnacentral:lncRNA from 1 species
CAGCCCCCAGGGAUAUUCAUGAAGCCUGUGCAGAGAGGCCUAUGCAGGAAAGAAGUAAGGCUUCCGGCCGACAGUCAUCACCAACUUGCCAGCCAGGUGGUUGACCCUCAUUAUGCAAGUUUUGUUGUUAGUGAUUCCUAAAUCUUAUCGGGCUGUCAGAUGUAGGUUUCCAAGGGAACUUCUACCUUUCAGUAUCUUCCAUUUUGUUCUCAUACAAAGCUGCUCACAUGUGACUAUUUCUACCUCUAUGUAAGCCAAUUAUUUCCCAUGUCUAUACUGCAGACUCUCUAUCAAGUAAUAGGAACUCUUCAAUGUGCACAUAUUUUCCAGGAACAGUGUCCAUUCUGCAGAGACAUUAUGUUUUCAUCACCUCAAGGAUGACUAACCAUGCAGUCAGAAAAGAAAAGCCAAUCCCCAACAAGUGAUGCCAACUAAGGAACUUUCCCAUGUAGAGUGACCACAAUAAAUAAUGGGUUUCCAGUUCUAUAAAGCUCAGAACAAAUA